AAGCAAAAUAGAUUUUAAUAGGAGGACAAACGUUUGCUAAAGUACAGUGAUAAAAAUGUAUUAACUUCGGCUCUGAAUGAGGUUGCCUAUUCUAUCCUAGUAUGGGG
rnacentral:snoRNA from 1 species